ACAACCCCUACGCCAAGGACCUCCAGAUCCAGGGCGUUCACAAUGCCCGCCGAUACCUGGGCGAUCGUCUCGCCCGGGUCGCA
rnacentral:tRNA from 1 species